rnacentral:rRNA from 1 species
UACGUAGGGGGCUAGCGUUGUCCGGAUUUAUUGGGCGUAAAGAGCGUGUAGGCGGCCAGGUAGGUCCGUUGUGAAAACUCGAGGCUCAACCUCGAGACGUCGGCGGAAACCCUCUGGCUAGAGUCCGGAAGAGGAGAGUGGAAUUCCUGGUGUAGCGGUGAAAUGCGCAGAUAUCGGGAGGAACACCGGUGGCGAAGGCGGUUCUCUGGGCCUUACCUGACGCUGAGGAGCGAAAGCGUGGGGAGCGAACAGG